ACUGACAGCCAUGGUUACCGCGGCUGCUGGCACGGAGUUAGCCGGUGCUUCUUCUGCGAGUAACGUCACAGAUGUAAGGUAUUAACUUACACCCUUUCCUCCUCGCUGAAAGUGCUUUACAACCCGAAGGCCUUCUUCACACACGCGGCAUGGCUGCAUCAGGGUUUCCCCCAUUGUGCAAUAUUCCCCACUGCUGCCUCCCGUAGGAGUCUGGGCCGUGUCUCAGUCCCAGUGUGGCUGAUCAUCCUCUCAGACCAGCUAGGGAUCGUCGCCUAGGUGAGCCUUUACCUCACCUACUAGCUAAUCCUACCUGGGCUUAUCCAUCAGCGCAAGGCCCGAAGGUCCCCUGCUUUCCCCCGUAGGGCGUAUGCGGUAUUAGCGGUCGUUUCCAACUGUUAUCCCCCACAAAUGGGCAAAUUCCCAGGCAUUACUCACCCGUCCGCCGCUCGUCAUCUUCAAAAGCAAGCUUUUGAAAUGUUACCGCUCGACUUGCAUGUGUUAGGCCUGCCGCCAGCGUUCAAU
rnacentral:rRNA from 1 species